rnacentral:rRNA from 1 species
CCUAACCUUUGAGUGGCCGGACCGGCGCACGGGUGAGUAACACGUAUCCAACCUACUCCUUACAACGGAAUAACUCGGCGAAAGUCGGACUAAUACCGUAUGAUAUCCUAUGCAGGCAUCUAAAUAGGAUUAAAGGUUUAGCGGUAAGGGAUGGGGAUGCGUCUGAUUAGGCAGUUGGCGGGGUAACGGCCCACCAAACCGACGAUCAGUAGGGGUUCUGAGAGGAAGGUCCCCCACAUUGGAACUGAGACACGGUCCAAACUCCUACGGGAGGCAGCAGUC